rnacentral:rRNA from 1 species
GACGAACGCUGGCGGCGUGCUUAACACAUGCAAGUCGAACGGAAAGGCCCUGCUUUUGUGGGGUGCUCGAGUGGCGAACGGGUGAGUAACACGUGAGUAACCUGCCCUUGACUUUGGGAUAACUUCAGGAAACUGGGGCUAAUACCGGAUAGGAGCUCCUGCUGCAUGGUGGGGGUUGGAAAGUUUCGGCGGUUGGGGAUGGACUCGCGGCUUAUCAGCUUGUUGGUGGGGUAGUGGCUUACCAAGGCUUUGACGGGUAGCCGGCCUGAGAGGGUGACCGGCCACAUUGGGACUGAGAUACGGCCCAGACUCCUACGGGAGGCAGAAGGGGGGAAUAUUGCACAAUGGGCGGAAGCCUGAUGCAGCAACGCCGCGUGCGGGAUGACGGCCUUCGGGUUGUAAACCGCUUUCGCCUGUGACGAAGCGUGAGUGACGGUAAUGGGUAAAGAAGCACCGGCUAACUACGUG